rnacentral:rRNA from 1 species
UACGUAGGGGGCAAGCGUUGUCCGGAAUCAUUGGGCGUAAAGAGCGUGUAGGCGGCCAGGUAGGUCUGCUGUGAAAACUCGAGGCUUAACCUCGAGCUGUCGGCGGAAACCAUCUGGCUAGAGUCCGGAAGAGGAGAAUGGAAUUCCCGGUGUAGCGGUGAAAUGCGCAGAUAUCGGGAAGAACACCCGUGGCGAAGGCGGCUCACUGGCCCGGUACUGACGCUGAGGCACGAAAGCGUGGGAGCAAACAGG